rnacentral:sRNA from 1 species
UUGAUGAAACACUCAC